rnacentral:miRNA from 1 species
UACUUUUCUAGGUUGUUGGGG